rnacentral:tRNA from 1 species
UCCCUAGUGGCUCAGAUGGUAAAGAAUCUGCCUGCAAUGCAGGAGACUCAGGUUUGAUUCCUGGGUUGGGAA